rnacentral:rRNA from 1 species
AUACGGAGGGUGCGAGCGUUAUUCGGAAUCACUGGGCGUAAAGGACGCGUAGGCGGGUUGGCAAGUCAGAUGUGAAAUCCUACAGCUUAACUGUAGAACUGCAUUUGAAACUGCUAACCUAGAGUAUGGGAGGGGGAGAUGGAAUUAGUGGUGUAGGGGUAAAAUCCGUAGAUAUCACUAGGAAUACCGAAAGCGAAGGCGAUCUCCUGGAACAUAACUGACGCUAAGGCGUGAAAGCGUGGGGAGCAAACAGGAGUAGAAACCCUAGUAGUCC